AUUUAAAUAGUUUAAUUUAAAACAUUAAUUUGUGGAAUUAAAGAUAUAUUAAUAUAAAAGUAUUUUAAAUU
rnacentral:tRNA from 1 species